GGAAAUUUGCUAGCAGGAUUCUCUCUUGCUCUGCUGAGAGGCAUUUCUGAGAUGAAAGAAGUGGGCCCUGCCAUUGAACAGAAUUUAUGCAUUUAAAAAUUCAUUAUUUCUGUGAAAAAGAGAAGAAAAAUUGGGUGAUGACGUCAGUCCAUGCUUCAGAAAUAGUUGUUUGCGAGGGAAGAUGGCUCAACCAGCAAACACCUAAAGGGCUUUUGAAACUCUCUAAAUACAAGUUUUUAGAAACAAGGAGGCGUUGAAAACUUACCACAUGACCUUGUGCAAGUUGCUUAACACCACUAUGCCGCGGUGUCUUCUCAGUUUUAAUAGGGGAUAAUAUUGCAUCCUCUUAAAGAGUUUUUUGAGAGGAUUUGAUGAGAAACUCUAUGUAAGUCACUUAGUAUGCUGCCUGGAAUGUAGCAAGAACUUGAUCACUGAUGAACUAUUAUCAGUGUUUGUUUGU
rnacentral:lncRNA from 1 species